rnacentral:rRNA from 1 species
UCGUAAGGUGAACCUGCGGAGGGAUCAUUA